UACAGAGGGUGCAAGCGUUGUUCGGAAUUAUUGGGCGUAAAGCGCGUGUAGGCGGCUUUGCAAGUCGGGUGUGAAAGCCCCGGGCUCAACCUGGGAAUUGCAUUUGAGACUGCGUAGCUAGGGUGCGGAAGAGGGAAGCGGAAUUUCCGGUGUAGCGGUGAAAUGCGUAGAUAUCGGAAGGAACACCAGUGGCGAAAGCGGCUUCCUGGUCCAGCACCGACGUUCAGGCACGAAAGCGUGGGGAGCAAACAGG
rnacentral:rRNA from 1 species